rnacentral:rRNA from 1 species
GACGUAGGGCGCGAGCGUUGUCCGGAUUUAUUGGGCGUAAAGAGCUCGUAGGCGGCUUGUCGCGUCGACUGUGAAAUCCCGCGGCUCAACUGCGGGUCUGCAGUCGAUACGGGCAGGCUAGAGUUCGGUAGGGGAGACUGGAAUUCCUGGUGUAGCGGUGGAAAUGCGCAGAUAUCAGGAGGAACACCGUAGUCGCGAAGGCAG